rnacentral:lncRNA from 1 species
AGACAUGCUUCUGCUCCUACGCUUGGCCAUUACGAUAAGGGCACAAUUUUGCGAUGGUGAGCAUCCAGCAUCGGCCUUGCCACACCGGAACCGAAGGCCAAUUCCAGCUUGUCCAUUGACCAGAGCACCUUCGUCGCGCACGUGGAACAGGUGUGAAAGUUGAUUUGGGCAGUUCCUCUAAACAUUAUGCAUGAACGAAGGGGAUCAACGAGGAAUGUCGAGGGUGUGUUAGUGGAGGCUGUCUCAACUCGUAAGGUAACAUAUGAUGCACGCUCUCCAUUUGGUUUCCCCCAGCAUCCCAUCUAGACAAGCUUUGGUUUCUUCUGCUCAAGCCGGGAUCUGUAAUAAUAUAAUGUGCUCAAAACUUGCACUUGUGUUUAUAGGCGGUACACUUCUCAGUUACUAGACCUGUCCACAUUAGCUAGCAC